GCAGUGUUGCAACACGUAGUCAAUUGAGUAAUAGAUAAAGAGAAAAGGUAAACAAUGCAUGUGCUUUGCGUGGAAAAUAAAAGGAAAUACACUAAAUAAAUAGAGACAAGCACUUGCAGAAAUAACAAUACAGGUAAGUAGUAGACUGGAGUGGAGACGACGGAAAAACAGGUAAUAAAAGAGAUACUACACUGGAACAAAGACGAGACAAUACAGCUACAGGGAAGACUAGAAGCAUCGGCCGGCAUAGCAAAACACAAUGCUUGUAAAGACAUUGCGUUGCAUACCGGCCGACCCCGUCGUCCCCCCUGGUCGUCGAAAUUGGCGUCAUCCAGAGUCGUCAGAGGUAGCUGCAAUUAGCACCUCGUCGUCGUUGUGGCUGUGGCUGCCCGCUUGGAGAACCAGUGGCACUGGUCCGGCCACCAGCUGGGAGCCAGGAGUAGACGGCACACAUAGUACUGUGGCGACACGGGUCCGGCCGCCAAAGUGAAAUGGAUGUGAGUGUGUGUGUGCGUCGGCAAUUGUGGCCCUGAUGUAGAGCGAGUGGCACUGUUCCGGCCACCAGCUGUGGGCAAUGGCGGUCGGUGACACACAUAACUCGAACGGCACAGGUCCGGCCGCCCAAGUGUAGUGGAUGUGUGUGUGUGUGUGUCUGAAUGGCUGGCGGACCAUAGGGCACUCUGAAUGCCA